rnacentral:rRNA from 1 species
CCUACGGGAGGCAGCAGUGGGGAAUAUUGGACAAUGGGCGAAAGCCUGAUCCAGCAAUUCCGCGUGUGUGAAGAAGGCCUUCGGGUUGUAAAGCACUUUAGUUGGGGAAGAAACAGCUUGGCCACACCAAGCCUUGACGGUACCCCAAAGAAUAAGCACCGGCUAACUCUGUGCCAGCAGCCGCGGUAAUACAGAGGGUGCAAGCGUUAAUCGGAUUUACUGGGCGUAAAGGGUGCGUAGGUGGUUUUGUAAGUCGGAUGUGAAAGCCUGGGGCUCAACCUCAGAAUUGCACUCGAUACUGCAAGACUAGAGUUCGGUAGAGGGCGGCGGAAUUCCCGGUGUAGCGAUGAAAUGCGUAGAUAUCGGGAGGAACAUCAAUGGCGAAGGCAGCCGCCUGGGCCUGAACUGACACUGAGGCACGAAAGCGUGGGUAGCAAACAGGAUUAGAUACCCUGGUAGUCCACGCUGUAAACGAUGAGAACUUGACGUUGGUUCGUUUUACGAAUCGGUGUCGCAGCUAACGCGAUAAGUUCUCCGCCUGGGGAGUACGGCCGCAAGGUUGAAACUCAAAGGAAUUGACGG